rnacentral:lncRNA from 1 species
GUCUGAACACAUAAAAGAUGGCACCAAAGAGAGGCAUCUAUGGCAGGUGGAGGAUUUCAAUGAAGACACCCCUCUAUGUGUAAAGAAAAGAAUGGUCCUUGCUUGUCAGCAUGGCAAAGCUCGACAGAAAAAAGAAAAGGAGAAACGUUCAGCAGAGCAUGUAUACACAAAAAAACGUUUUCAUGUCCAAAAUGGGAAGAAGUUGGACUGCCCAGCUAAACUUUUCAUUCGGCAUGUGCUGAGAUAUGACUCAUUCAGUGUGAGAGGGGAUGCCACAAAAUCCCAUAAAGAAGACACUAUGAGAAAUCUUAAGAUAGCACUUCAAAACUCAGAAAACCCACCAACCUCUACAUUCAUUCAUCUAAAAAUUCCUCUAUUGGAAGUUCACAAUCAUACAAUUGGAGCAGGAUCCUGUUUUUCAAGACCGAUUCAUCCAAAAAUAAAAAAUCAAAUUCAGGUGAUGGUCGGACAAGGGAUAACUAAUAUAGCUUUCGUGAAGAGAGCCUUGAAGCAGUAUGUGCUAAAUGACUUGUGUGGAGAGGAUCUCCAGCGGCCGCACAACAACGAUGAAGCAUAUUUUCCAUCGAACACAACUAUCCAGAAUCACAUUCACAUGGCAUUAGUGGCUGGUCGUUACUCUGCGCUGGAUCAGGAGAAUCUUGCAAAGAAAGUGGCAGAAUGGAAGGUUGAAGAUGAGGGCAAUCGUUUCUUCUUUAGGAAAUGCACAAAUGGAGGAGAUGAAGAUCUAGAGCAUCAGUUUCUUUUCAUACAUCAGCACCACAAACAAAUACGGCUCCUGCAGCGAUAUGGGGAAAUGGUUCUUUUGAAUGCCACAUACAAAACCUCAAAAUAUUCCAUGCCAUUGUUUUUUUUGGUUGUUCGAACCAAUGUUGGCUACAAACCUGUAGCAGAGUUUGUAUGUGAGAGUGAAACUACAAAGUCCAUUGCAGAAGCACUGGACAUCUUGAAGACAUGGAAUCCUCAGUGGACUCCAAAGUACUUCAUGACAGAUUACAGUGAGCAAGAGAUCCAGGCCCUCGCCCAAGUGUUCCCCACUGCAGUAACACACCUAUGUGCAUUCCACAGAGAGCAGGCCUGGCUCCGCUGGACUAAAGAUGGUGAGAUCUAGUAACGUGCAGAGAUUGUAUUGGAAUCUUGUGUGUUUUUUGCAACGGAAACAGUGAAUACUGCCUGUAUGACCAAAUUAUUAUGAUUGUAGGAAAAAACAAGCUUGCCGACAGGGGGGGGGGGGGGGGGGGGGGGUCUAGCUCAAUUGCUGUAAGUGUGGUGUGUGUUUGUGUAUGUGUUGUGUAAUGUGUUAGGAUGUGUGUAUAUGUUUUGAAGAGUGGAUGUGUGUAGUGACAGUAUAGUCUGUAUGUGAAUAUUAGAUAUAAUUGUUAUGUAUGUAAUUAUUUGAUAUAAUUGUUGUCAUCACUGUUUGUUUUUUUCCAGAAAUGGUGCAGAGCCUAUGCGCCAGAGGCAUUUAAUGUGUCAGUCACCACCAACAAUGGAGUUGAAACCAUGAAUAAAAAUCUGAAGGCAUUCUACCUGAAAAUCUCAGGUACUGGGAUUCUCUCUUCUCUACUGGGAACAGUUGUUCGAGAAUUUAUUCCUGACAAAAUGAAAGGCUACGAGCGGCUGAAUUACAAUCAAUCCACAAGCCACAAGAGCUACAAUGAGGAUGUACCAGAGCACCUCAAAAACCGACCAAGAGAUGUGGUCCUCCACUGCUUGAGAAGCAUCAGUUCUGCUUCCCAUUUCACUGCUCAAGAUGUUGUGGAUAAAGGUGAUGGUACAUGCCUAGUCACAAGUGAGCAAUCUCCCCUCUUUUACUCCGUCAACCUUAGAGGGCCGUUGUGUGAGUGUGGUGCAUUUCAAGAUUCUUACCUACCAUGCAAGCACAUGAUUGCCAUU